rnacentral:rRNA from 1 species
UCCGAAGGGGGCUAGCGUUGUUCGGAUUUACUGGGCGUAAAGCGCACGUAGGCGGAUCGAUCAGUCAGGGGUGAAAUCCCAGAGCUCAACUCUGGAACUGCCUUUGAUACUGUCGAUCUGGAGUAUGGAAGAGGUGAGUGGAAUUCCGAGUGUAGAGGUGAAAUUCGUAGAUAUUCGGAGGAACACCAGUGGCGAAGGCGGCUCACUGGUCCAUUACUGACGCUGAGGUGCGAAAGCGUGGGGAGCAAACAGG